rnacentral:rRNA from 1 species
CUGCUGCCUUCCGUAGGAGUCUGGUCCGUGUCUCAGUACCAGUGUGGGGGACCUUCCUCUCAGAACCCCUACGCAUCGUCGCCACGGUGGGCCGUUACCCCGCCGUCUAGCUAGUGCGCCGCAUGCCCAUCCUCUUCCGAUGAAUCUUUCCUCGAUCUCGGAUGCCCGAAACCGAUAUACGCGGGAUUAGCCUCCCUUUCGGAAGGUUGUCCCCCUGAAGAGGGCAGGUUGCAUACGUGUUACUCACCCGUGCGCCGGUCGCCGG